rnacentral:tRNA from 1 species
GCGGACAUGGCGGAAUAGGUAGACGCGUAUGUCUCAGAAGCAUAUGGUGUAUACCGUGAGGGUUCGAGUCCCUCUGCCCGCA